rnacentral:rRNA from 1 species
UACGUAGGGUGCAAGCGUUGUCCGGAAUUAUUGGGCGUAAAGAGCUCGUAGGCGGUUUGUCGCGUCUGCUGUGAAAACUCGGGGCUUAACCCCGGGCCUGCAGUGGGUACGGGCAGACUAGAGUGCGGUAGGGGAGACUGGAAUUCCUGGUGUGGCAGUGAAAUGCGUAGAUAUCAGGAGGAACACCGAUGGCGAAGGCAGGUCUCUGGGCUGACACUGACGCUCAUGCACGAAAGCGUGGGGAGCAAACAGG